GUUAAAUGCUAAAUCUAAAUGUUUAGAAAAUAUGCAAAUAGCCCACGCCUGUCAGCGUGCACAGACCCGCCCACACCUCUGACGGACCGACGUGCUGUGGAUGCGGAGGCAAAGAGAAGAAGGACCGAACAUGGCCGGCUCGCUCCAAUUAGGAGAUACUGAGCGGGCAGUUAUGGCAGGUGUGCCUGUUGCACUCCAAGGUGCACUUCCGCCGGUACCGUCCACACCGUUAACGGUCUCCACACCCCAGGUUAACCCACAGGCCCCUACAGCUGUGUCCUCAGGCACUGCCACCUUUGCUACCACUAUGACAUCACUGAGAUCAGAUGGGCAUACAGUACUUUCCAAAGAGGACAUUGAGGGUUUGCUGCUGCUGGGAACAACGCUUUCUGAAGUGGCUUCAGUCCUGUGGAUCACCGGACCCACUUUAUACAAGCUGAUGUGGGAAUACAACAUAAGGCACACAAAAUUCAGUACCAUUUCUGAUUAGGAAUUGGAUGCUUGAUAUUUUCUAUGAACUGGAGUCAAUGGAGGCCUUGGAUGUAGACAAUGAAUGGGAAUUAUUUUGUCUUCAUUUUGUGCACAUUCUAAGGAUCAAUUGCACAUUAGAUGAGUUUAAAGCUGCAUUUAACAAUCAUUCAAUCACAUCUCAAGUAAACAGAACCCCACUUCAGCUUUUCACACUAGACAAACAACUCUUGAGCCAAUAAUAAUGAAGGUACUUAAGUAAAGAAUGUAACAUUAACAUGUCAAUCAGUAGUGGUGUACAUUUAACAAUGCUGUACUGUAAAUACUUUUUGAGCAGAUUGGUAGAAAGGCUAAACAGUUUCAACAUUAGCCUGAAAUGUUUUAACCAACAAUAAGUAAAGCUGAAAUGUAUACAGGAAAAUAAAUCAGCAAAACCACCCAUUGGUUUACUGGCUUUAUUGUGUCUGUGCAUGUCUAGAUAUGCAGGAUUCAAUGUCAGGAUAAACGCCUGCUCUUCCUCAGUAAGGGUCCUGGAAUGAAGAUGUUCACCAACUUCUUUCUCUAUAAGGGUGAAAAAGAUACAAAACACAAAAUAAAGACAAAUAUGUACACAACCAAAUUAUCACAGAUUAUAGACAGUGAAAUGAUUCAGUCUUCAACAUGGGUCGGACAAUGUAGAGAAAAGGCUUAACGCUUGCACAUUAUAGCACAACUGCAGCAGGAUAGUGCACAAGUUUUACACUGACAGACAGCAAUAUUCUCUACUACAUACUCUAAUGGCUUUGUAAGGAGAAUGUAGCAUCUGACCUGUAUAGAAAGUGUUACAGGACUGAUAUGGAGUGAUUUCUGGAUUCAUGAGGGUUGUGCAUCAGGAAAUCCUUUGUGUGUUUUACUCUGUCAAGACAUGGAGUUUUUUUUUUCCCAUAAUUAAGCAGGUUUAUCAGGGAAAAGCAUACAUGUACCUUGUACACAUUGGAGAAACUCUCUGAACUUAACCACCAUUAACUCCUCUCUUGGUCUUCUGUUGCUUCCCAGAACAGAGUAGUUGGGUUUCAGGAGGGCAGCCACAACAGCUGCUGUAAUAUCACUGGGUUCUUCAGGCUUCUCAAGAAGGACCCUAAAGCAGGGAUUUUCUUUCAGGAGUGGCAGAACCUGUGAAGACAUCAACAAAAAAUCCAUCAAAAGCUUUACCCUUAAAUGCAUGGGCUUCUUUCCUACAUACCUAGGGUCUC
ensembl:lncRNA